GUUUAAGAUAAGGCAGGAACAUGUUGUCACACCAAAAAGCAAGGAGGGUAUCAGUGACUAGUUAGAGUCAUUUCAAAACUACUCAGAGGUGUGGCCGGGCGCGGUGGCUCAAGCCUGUAAUCCCAGC